rnacentral:rRNA from 1 species
UACGUAGGGAGCGAGCGUUGUCCGGAUUCAUUGGGCGUAAAGCGCUUUAAGGCGGUUCGCUAAGUCGCGUGUGAAAACUCCAGGCUCAACCUGGAGACGCCACGUGAUACUGGCGUGACUAGAGUUCGGUAGGGGAUCACGGAAUUCCUGGUGUAGCGGUGAAAUGCGCAGAUAUCAGGAGGAACACCGGUGGCGAAGGCGGCCUGCUGGGCAGUUGCUGACACUGGAGGCGCGACAGCGUGGGGAGCAAACAGG